rnacentral:rRNA from 1 species
GACGAACGCUGGCGGCGUGCUUAACACAUGCAAGUCGAACGGAAAGGCCUGCUUUCCCUUGUGGAUUGCGGGUACUCGAGUGGCGAACGGGUGAGUAACACGUGAGUGAUCUGCCCCCAACUUGGGUAUAAGCCUGGGAAACUGGGUCUAAUUCCCGAUAGGACUGCAGGGUGGUGCCUGUGGUGGAAAACGAUUUUCUAGUGGUUGGGGAUGAGCUCGCGGCCUAUCAGCUUGUUGGUGGGGUAAUGGCCUACCAAGGCGGCGACGGGUAGCCGGCCUGAGAGGGUGGACGGCCACAUUGGGACUGAGAUACGGCCCAGACUCCUACGGGAGGCAGCAGUGGGGAAUAUUGCACGAUGGGCGGAAGCCUGAUGCAGCGACGCCGCGUGGGGGAUGACGGCCUUCGGGUGGUAAACUCCUUUCGACCGCGAGGAAGCCACCUGGUUGGAAGGGUGGUGACGGUAGUGGUAGAAGAAGCACCGGCUAACUACGUG